AGACUACUAUUUGAAGGGCAACUUGAAUGCAGUCUAGUCCCAGGACUAACGGGUCGGUUUUAAUGAAUCUACAAGCCUCCAAAAUGGAUGAAAGGCACGGGACCAUGAGCCAAGGAAUGCAGAUGUCUAGAAGCUGAGAAUGAUCCCAAUCUGACAGCCACAAGGGAAUGGUAACCUUUGUCGUACAACUGCAUGGAACUGAGCUUGGCCAACAACCAGAAUGAGUCUGGAAGAUUCAUUAGCAGAGCCUCUAGAAAGGAACACAGAGCUCCUGCUAUGGCAGAUCUAGAGCAGAGAAACCAGCUGAGCCUACAAGCCUUCUGACUUCAAAACUGUUAGAUAAUAAACGGGUGUUGUUUUAAGCUGCUGCAUUUGUCGUAAUUUGUUAUGGAUGCAAUCGAGAAUUAAUACACAGUCUGCAGUUUGUCUUGUCAUCCUCUUAACAAGAUCUCUCCCAGAGCAAAUUUUUUAAUUUUGAUGAAGUGCAAUCUAUCAAUUAUUUUCUUUUGUGGAUUGUGCUUUUGGUGUCAAGUUUAAGAACUCUUCCCCAAGUUCUAGGUUCGGAAGAUGUUUUCUUAUGUAUUCUUUGAAAUCAUAUAGUUCACAUUUUACCUUUGACUAAGUGAUCUGUUUACAGUUAAUUUUUGUUCAAGAUGUGAAGUGUUGGUUGAGGUUCUUUUUUUGCCUUUGGUUAUCCAAUCACUUCAACACCAGUUGUUGAAAAAUUACCCAUCGAAUUGCUUUUGCACAUUUGUCACAAACCAGUUGACUGUUGUUGGGUGGGGCCAUAUUUUUUUUCCUGUUCUGUUCCACUGGUCUACGUGUCUGUUCCUCUGACAUUAACACAUAGUCCUGAUUACCAUAGCUAUAUAAUAAGUCUUACAACUGGGUUGAAUGACUCCUCUCAUUUUAUUUUUUCAAAAUUAUUUUAGCUGUUCUAAUUCCUUUGUUUCUCCACACAAAUUUUGGAAUAAACUUGCUUAUAUUUGCAAAUACCUUGCUGAGAUUUUGAUAAGAGUUAUGUUAAAUCUGUACAUCAAAUUGGGGAGAAUUGACAUCUUUGCUAUGUUGGGUAUUACAAUCCAUGAGUGUCGUGUGUCUGUCUGUUUUUUAUUUUUAUUUCUUUCAGCAGCAGCUUUCAGACCUUGACAUGUAAGUCCGGUAUAUCUUUUGUUAGAUUUAUACCUAAGUAUUUCAUUUUUAAAGAGAUUGUAAAUGGUAUUGUAUGUUUAAUUUUGAUUUCUGUGUAUUCAUGCUAAGAUAUGGAAAUAGAGUUAAUUGUCCUUUGUAGAUCUUUUAUCUUGUGACUUUAAUAAAACUGUUUUAUUAGUUCCA